rnacentral:lncRNA from 1 species
GGGCAGAAAUGCCCAAUCGGAGAAGAAGAAGGUGAGAGCAAACCAGAAGAAGGGAGAGGAAGAAGCUGACCAAUCAGGGGACGGAAAGGAGGGAAAGGAGGGAAAGGAGGGAGAGUGGUGGCGCGGGGAACAGGAGGAAUGGGUCACCCUUGACCCGCGCGACCCAAGCUUCCAAAUCGGCGGGUUUUUCGCCAUUUCCGUCCAAAUUUCCGACGAAUUGAGUCAAGGUACCACUCCUAAUCAUCAUCUAGGCCUUCCCUCUUUACGUUUCACCCAAGAAUCAUUGAAUUUCGUUGUGAUUUCGCGAAGAACACCCCUACGGGUGCCGCGACCCUUUUGUUUAAAUUCUCCAAAUUUUGAAAUGUUUUCUUUUCAAUUACUAACACCUUUAGCAUUCCUUUAGGACCUAGAACAAAGCCCAAGAGGUAAUUGAGGCGUUGGAACAAGUUUGAAGGUCGAAUUGGAAACACCCAAAUUCUAGGGUUCUUCACGGUUUUGGUGAAAUUGAAGCACUUCCAGGCCAAAUUGGCCUUGGUCUCAGGUAUGAAAGUUGUUUCUACUCAUUGAGAUCUUCAAAUCUGCAAAUUUUGGUAAUUUUUGGAAAUAGUUGAAUUUUCCGGCGAGCCGGGGGCGGCCAACCGCCACCCGCGGCGGCCCGCGCGGCGGCGCGUGGCCAAUGGCCGCCAAUGUCAUUAUUAGCUUGUGAUUAAGGUUCUAGGUUCUGUUUUGAUAAUUGAUGGACGUAAAUUGAAUAAUUGAACCUAAGUUGGUUACGAUUCGGGGUUAGGUGAAAAUGUGAAUUGACGAUCCGACCGUUGGAUCGUCAUCAAACUUUGAUACGUUGUAAUACGUAAUAUUUGAGGAUUAUAGGAACUUACGGAUUGGGAAUCCGAUUUACGGAUAUUCCGGAAUUGGAAUUGUAAGUUCAUAAAAUAGAAUGUUAACCCGUCACUUAGUUUUGGAAAUUGACGGAGAUCCGACCGUUGGAUGGUAACGAAAAUUUUAGGAUGUUGUCCUAGAGGUAUAUUGUGGACCUCUGGAAGUUUCGGAUUUGAAAUCUGAAUUGCAGAUCAUCCGGAUCGAACUACGUAGUGACGUGUCUUAUAUAAGUUAUGUAUUCUAUCGGCAGGAUUUCUGAGGUUGGGUUUGAUUAUUGUUCUAGGCGCUAAUCUUCAUGACGCCUUGAUGUGUGGUGCUAGGGAGUUGUUGAGCGAACUCCAGGUGAGUGGGCAGUUUUUUGUUUUCGUAUUACCUUUAUACUAUAAAUUUUUUCCCAGAAGAUGAAUUUAUACGAAAUUAUGUUUUGAAAAUGCCAUGCAUAGAAUUAUUUGGAAAAGGUGAAUUUCACAUGAGUUAUAUGAUUGAUAUAUGAUGCAUACAUGUUGCAUGGUGCUGUGGAGGCACAGGUAAGUCAGGUGAGUUCAUUAUUCAUUUAAUUGAUUGUUGAUAAGAUGUUUCAAGCUCAUAAACCUGCACCCUAGGUGUUAGUGCUUAUUUUAUUCACCACACCGCACGCUCGCCUUGGAUCCAAGUAGGUGGAUGUCGUACAGACCAUGUGAGGGUUCCGACAUGCUAGUCGUAUAGAUCACUAGGCGUGAUUCCGACUAGUGGGUGAUCUUAGUUAUGCGCGCUGAUGAUUGAUGAGAGAAGCACUAGAGCGUAUUUUUACACCUUUCAUCGUACAGACUACCUUACGUAGUUCCGAGUGAUGUGCAGAGUAGGGCCGUAUAGGUCACUGUGGUGACUCCGGCUUAGUGAGAUAUUGAGCUAUUGAAUUAAUCGUAUAGGACCAACUGCAGGGUCUCCGAUUGAUUCCUUAUUUCACCUGAUUUAUAUUUUGAUUUAUGGCAUGGCAUGUUUUUCUUGAAAAAUGUUAAAGAUUUGGGAUUCAAGUUUUGAGAUUUCAUAUGGUUAUAUAUAUAUAUUUUUCUGAAAAGUGUUAAAGGUUUGAGAUUUGAGAUUUUUGCUUAUAUAUAUGUUUAUAUAUAUGCUAUUUUCUGGGAAAGUAUACAGGUUUUACGGUGAGGGGUUAGAAAUAUUUUAAAUGAAAAGUUUUCGAAAAACUUUGUUUUACUGACCCACUCAAUUUUGUUUUGCGCCCCUCCAGGUUCAAGUUAGCAGAGCUUUGGUGGCCACGAGGAAUCCAACGGUGUUCUGACAGAAUUCACAAAAGUAGGACUCACCCUCGGGUGUGUCAUCUUAGUAAUUGGAAAUUUUUUUUAAAGCUUCUGAACUAUGUAAAUGGUUACGUCACUCUCACGUGACGGCCAGCACGCCCUCCUUCGGGACGGGGUGUGUCAGUUGGUAUCAGAGCCUAGGUUGCAAUUCUGGACAUCUUGAGAAUUUCCUAGUGUCUUCUGUCAGAACUAUACCGCCUCAUAGCGAGCCACGUAGUUCGGAUGAGCCUAAAUUCCCUGAUAUAGUAGUUUGGGGGGAAAUUAUUGUCACUAUGAUUCAGUCUAUUAUCUAAAGGAACCUUUGAGACUGAUUAUAAGUUAAAUUUGAAUACAGACUUGCCUUGUUUCCAUUCGGGAUGUUGUUACUAAUCCGGUCGAGGUGUUAUGUCGUUUUUGGCGGGAUAAUAAGAAGAAGUGACGUUCUUUGGCGACCACAAUCCAUUGUACUUUUUUACCAGGAGUUUACGAGAUGUUGUUGGGCUUUGAGGACUUUGAGAAUAUGAUCAGCGAGAGUAAAGAAGAAUAAGAAAAGAAUGGUAAUUAGAGGAAAGGUGAGAAAGUUAAAGAUCCGUCAUAUCAAGGACGUCGAAAGACUCAGAGCUUCAAAAGAAGUGAAGUUAGAACUAAUUCUUCCAACUGAGGUUUUAGUGCCACUGGUCCGAGGCGAAGUGAUAGAUUUACGGGUGAUCCCAGAUCUUAAAGACAAGGGGUGACUCGAGUAAGGGAAAUGUACCUUUGUGCCAUAGGUAUAAUAUUAGACACUUUGGAGAGUGUGGGAAUCAGUGAAUGUGUUCAUGUGGAUGGAUGGGACAUAGAGGUAUGAAUUGUCCCUGGAAUCAGUUGUUACCCAAUAGUCUUCCUUAACAUAUCACUUGGAAAUAUUGACGAGUAAGUCGUACAGGUCACUAUAUGUGACUCCGACUUAUGUGCUAGCAUGGAUGGUCGAGUUGUAGACUCAGUCGUACAGGUCAUUCUAGCUGACUCCGGCUGAUAUAUUUCUUAUUAUGGUCGAUGUUGCCAAAGAAAGUAAUGUUGGAGCACGAUCGAGGCGUAUUUAUGUAUUUCUAAGGAAGAACAAGAUGAUAAUAUUACACCCCUCAGGAAUUGUUACUUAGUUAUCGAGACAACAGUGAGUUAUUUGUAUUGCGGGCUGCAGACCGUAAUAUUUAUAACUUAUUUGUUGGAUUCGUUAAGUAAGUAAACAAGUAAGGCACUUUAUGUUGAUUUGGUUUAUUAAGGGUGUCCAGUGAUGGUGAAAAAUGUCAUGUCAGUGAAUUUUAUUCCGUUGGAUAUUAUGGAUUUUGAGGUGAUUUUUUUUGGCACCAGUGCGUGCAGUAUAAUUGUGUCAAGCUAGAUUGCUAUGGGGAAUCAGUUAAUUUUUGUUGACCUGGAUGACCAGAGGUUACUUUUAGGGGUAAGUAAAGUGGAGUGAGUUAUGCCAUUAUUCCUGUUGAGAGAGCAAAGAAGAUUGUUAUCAAAAGGCUGCCAAGAUAUUGAGUUCAUAUGGUGCUAAAUGAUGUUGAUCCUAAUAGUAUGGAAGAUGUAAAGAUGGUUAGACAUUUUCUUGGUGUAUUCCCAGAUGACUUACCUAGAUUGCCGCCAGGCAGAGAUGUGGGUUCCAUUAUUGAAUUGUUUUUAGGUACAAAUCCUAUGUUAGAAAUUGGUUCAGGUUGAGUUAAAAGUUCCAUUCAACUUAUUAUAUCACAUUGGAAAAGCUCCGGUUUAUUUGUGAGGAAGAAAGUGGACAUUAAGGCUAGGCAUUGAUAUUAGGUAAUUGAAUCGGGUAACGAUUGAGAGCUGUUAUCCAUUGUUGUGUAUUAAUGAUUAUUUGAUCAGCUCUGAGGCGCCUGGGUACUUUCUGAGACUGACUUGAGGUCUGAAUGAUAUUAGUUGAAGAUUAACAGUGGGGAUGUCCAUAAGACUGAAUCCAGGACUCGUUAUGGUCAUUUCAAGUUGGGAUGCCAUACGGAGUGACGAAUGCACCUACUAUUUUUAUGAGCUUACUGAAGGAAGUAUUCCAGUGAUAUCUAGAUCGGUUUGUUGUUGUUGCCAUUGACGAGAUUGAUAAGAUUAGAGCAGUGCAUGCUAGAUAUUUUAAAGUUGGGUGUUGCAAAGAUUGAAGGAACGUUGAUGUAUGCUAAGUUUAGCAAAUGCUAAUGUUGGAUAAAUUAAUUAUAUCUACUUAAGGUAUUCAAGUGGAUUCUUAAAAGAGUAGCAACGAUUGAGAAUUUGGAACAAUUGCGAACCGUGACUGAGGUUUAGAGUUUUCUCGGAUUAGCAGGAUAUUGUCGAUAGUUCGUCCAAGAUUUUAAUUAUUGCUUCGCCCUUGGCGAGAUUGAUGAGAAAAGAGGUUAAGUUUGAGUGGGAUGAAAAAUUGUGAGUAGAGCUUCAGCAAGUAAAGUAUUCCCUCACUCAUGCAUCUGUUUUCGCACUCCCAAACGAUAGUGGUAAUUACGUAGUCUAUAGUAAUACUUCUUUGAAUGUUCUUGAAUGCGCGUUGAUGCAACAUGGUAGGAUGAUUGCCUAUGCUUCAUGGCCAUUGGGAUCUCAUAAGAUGAAUUACCCUAAUUAUAAUUUGGAAUUAGCAGCUAUCAUCUUUGCUUUGAGAAUUUGGAGACAUUGUCUUUAUGGGAAGAAAAGUGCAUGAUUGUUACAAAUCAAAAGAGUACCCAAUAUCUGUUUAUUCAGAGGUAUCUUAAUCUUAGGCAACAAAGGUGGAAUGAGUUGCUUAGUGAUUAUGAUUGUGUGACGAGGGUGGUCAAGCUAAUGUUGUGGCUGAUGCAUUUAGUAGGAAGACCCCAGUGAGAAUUAAUGCUUGGUAUGCUUGCUAUGUUCAUCUUCUUGUGGAUUUGAAAUCUACUGGAGUAAAGUUGAGUAUCAAAAAUCGAGAAGAAGCCUUACUUGCUAAUUUCUAAGUUGGACCCAUUUGGUAGAUCGUACUCGAUACUCAAGCGUUUGACGAAGAAAUUCAAGAAUUUAUUUAAAGCAAGGAAUAACGGGAUAAAGAAGGACCUUAGAGUUAGAGAAUCAGAUGGCAAGCUUAUGCAAGGGAACAAAGUGUUUAUGCCUAAUGGUGUGGAAUUAAAUAAAGCAAUUUUGACGAUGUACAUUAUUCCACUUCUACAAUGCAUCCCAAAAGUACUAAGAUUUAUCAUACCAUUCGUUCAUGUACUAUUGACGGGUAUGAAAAGAGGAACGGCGAAGUAUGUUAGUAGGCGUAUCAUCAGUCAUCAGGUUAAAGCAGAAAGAAAUAAGUCUUUUGGAAUAAUGUAGUCAUUUCCCAUUCCACGGCGGAAAUGGGAGAAUAUUACUAUGGAUUUCAUGGACAAGCUUCCUCGUAUACCAAAUAGUUAGGUUGGAGUUUGAAUAAUAAUUGAUUGAUUUGUGACGUCAGCGCAUGUUACUUCAGUAUGAGAACAUCAACCUUUCCAGAUAAGCGCAACAGUCAUUUAUUUGUUUUAUGGAAAAAGGAGAUUGGGAUCUGUUAAACUUCUUGGGUAUGUUGGUUCCUUCAGUUUGUUCCCUAGAGUAACGCCAUAAGGCCGUGGAAAGCUAUGUCUUGUGUUUCGAAAUUGUUAGAAUUGGGGACGGAUGAUAUUCAAGACUCUGAGUUUGGUGAAAAUUUAUGGAGGAAUCUUUCAGUGGAAGAAAACUACUUGAAAGUCAAAGAAUCGAAUGAGAGAGAUGUGUGUUUCGGGCUGUUUCAUGGAUAUUGAUGGAUUGUAAAGAUUGUGUAAAUUUCGAGGACGAAAUUUCUGUAAGGUGGGUAGAUUGUGACAGCCCGUCCCUAAUUUUAAGAAUUUUUAAAGUUUUAAUAAAGGAUUUUACAAAAAUGCCCUUCGAGGCACGCACAUCAUUCGAGGUUAAUCGUUGUGUCGUGCCAUCUAAGAUUUGUUUUCUUGACAUAUCCUCGUAGUACUCGUCGUUACGGACGUGUGGGCGCAGACGGUUCGUGAUUUGGAGUUAUAUCGAAGAAGUUAUUAACGUUUGAAAUUUGGAAUUUUAAGGAAUUAUAAUUUUAGUAAAAUAUAGAAAUUCUUUUAUGAAAUUGGACGGCCCAGAUUUAUUGAUGAAUGAAAUGGAUGGCUGGGAUGAGGGAAAGGUUUUUGGUGUGUGUAUGUGUAUGAGAAGAAGAAACAGAAAACAGAAAAGAAGAAGAGACUGGGCAGAAAUGCCCAAUCGGAGAAGAAGAAGGUGAGAGCAAACCAGAAGAAGGGAGAGGAAGAAGCUGACCAAUCAGGGGACGGAAAGGAGGGAAAGGAGGGAAAGGAGGGAGAGUGGUGCGCGGGGGAACAGGAGGAAUGGGUCACCCUUGACCCGCGCGACCCAAGCUUCCAAAUCGGCGGGUUUUCGCCAUUUCCGUCCAAAUUUCCGACGAAUUGAGUCAAGGUACCACUCCUAAUCAUCAUCUAGGCCUUCCCUCUUUACGUUUCACCCCAAGAAUCAUUGAAUUUCGUUGUGAUUUCGCGAAGAACACCCCUACGGGUGCCGCGACCCUUUUGUUUAAAUUCUCCAAAUUUUGAAAUGUUUUCUUUCAAUUACUAACACCUUUAGCAUUCCUUUAGGACCUAGAACAAAGCCCAAGAGGUAAUUGAGGCGUUGGAACAAGUUUGAAGGUCGAAUUGGAAACACCCAAAUUCUAGGGUUCUUCACGGUUUUGGUGAAAUUGAAGCACUUCCAGGCCAAAUUGGCCUUGGUCUCAGGUAUGAAAGUUGUUCUACUCAUUGAGAUCUUCAAAUCUGCAAAUUUUGGUAAUUUUUGGAAAUAGUUGAAUUUUCCGGCGAGCCGGGGCGGCCAACCGCCACCCGCGGCGGCCCGCGCGGCGGCGCGUGGCCAAUGGCCGCCAAUGUCAUUAUUAGCUUGUGAUUAAGGUUCUAGGUUCUGUUUUGAUAAUUGAUGGACGUAAAUUGAAUAAUUGAACCUAAGUUGGUUACGAUUCGGGGUUAGGUGAAAAUGUGAAUUGACGAUCCGACCGUUGGAUCGUCAUCAAACUUUGAUACGUUGUAAUACGUAAUAUUUGAGGAUUAUAGGAACUUACGGAUUGGGAAUCCGAUUUACGGAUAUUCCGGAAUUGGAAUUGUAAGUUCAUAAAAUAGAAUGUUAACCGUCACUUAGUUUUGGAAAUUGACGGAGAUCCGACCGUUGGAUGGUAACGAAAUUUUAGGAUGUUGUCCUAGAGGUAUAUUGUGGACCUCUGGAAGUUUCGGAUUUGAAAUCUGAAUUGCAGAUCAUCCGGAUCGAACUACGUAGUGACGUGUCUUAUAUAAGUUAUGUAUUCUAUCGGCAGGAUUUCUGAGGUUGGGUUUGAUUAUUGUUCUAGGCGCUAAUCUUCAUGACGCCUUGAUGUGUGGUGCUAGGGAGUUGUUGAGCGAACUCCAGGUGAGUGGGCAGUUUUGUUUUCGUAUUACCUUUAUACUAUAAAUUUUUCCCAGAAGAUGAAUUUAUACGAAAUUAUGUUUUGAAAAUGCCAUGCAUAGAAUUAUUUGGAAAAGGUGAAUUUCACAUGAGUUAUAUGAUUGAUAUAUGAUGCAUACAUGUUGCAUGGUGCUGUGGAGGCACAGGUAAGUCAGGUGAGUUCAUUAUUCAUUUAAUUGAUUGUUGAUAAGAUGUUUCAAGCUCAUAACCUGCACCCUAGGUGUUAGUGCUUAUUUUAUUCACCACACCGCACGCUCGCCUUGGAUCCAAGUAGGUGGAUGUCGUACAGACCAUGUGAGGGUUCCGACAUGCUAGUCGUAUAGAUCACUAGGCGUGAUUCCGACUAGUGGGUGAUCUUAGUUAUGCGCGCUGAUGAUUGAUGAGAGAAGCACUAGAGCGUAUUUUUACACCUUUCAUCGUACAGACUACCUUACGUAGUUCCGAGUGAUGUGCAGAGUAGGGCCGUAUAGGUCACUGUGGUGACUCCGGCUUAGUGAGAUAUUGAGCUAUUGAAUUAAUCGUAUAGGACCAACUGCAGGGUCUCCGAUUGAUUCCUUAUUUCACCUGAUUUAUAUUUUGAUUUAUGGCAUGGCAUGUUUUUCUUGAAAAAUGUUAAAGAUUUGGGAUUCAAGUUUUGAGAUUUCAUAUGGUUAUAUAUAUAUAUUUUUCUGAAAAGUGUUAAAGGUUUGAGAUUUGAGAUUUUUGCUUAUAUAUAUGUUUAUAUAUAUGCUAUUUUCUGGGAAAGUAUACAGGUUUUACGGUGAGGGGUUAGAAAUAUUUUAAAUGAAAAGUUUUCGAAAAACUUUGUUUUACUGACCCACUCAAUUUUGUUUUGCGCCCUCCAGGUUCAAGUUAGCAGAGCUUUGGUGGCCACGAGGAAUCCAACGGUGUUCUGACAGAAUUCACAAAAGUAGGACUCACCCUCGGGUGUGUCAUCUUAGUAAUUGGAAAUUUUUUUUAAAGCUUCUGAACUAUGUAAAUGGUUACGUCACUCUCACGUGACGGCCAGCACGCCCUCCUUCGGGACGGGGUGUGUCAUUAAGUCUAGUUGUUAUAAUGCUCAUCCGACUAUUAACUGAGCCUUUGCUUUGAAUUCGGUAUUAAGCCAAGUUUAGCAUUUUAAUAGUAUAAUUAUAAUAAUAAAGUACCUUGAAUAUGGAAGUCAUCAACAACUAAAGCACACACUUGUUUAAUUUGUAUGAACACUGUAUAUUAUUGUUUUUGUAGACCCUGUCAACCACAACCAGUAAGAAUAUAUUAUCCUAGACACCUAACUAUAACUAGCAUAAAAAGAAGAUUAGCCUAUAUUUCUAACUAUAACUAGCAUAACAAGAAU